UGGCAGCUUCCUUUUUAUUUAUAAAACUCGCCAAAAUCUAGGUAAAGUGCGAGAUCAUGCAUGUUGAAUAAACUUCUCCUAUCAUGCGUGAUCAGUAACUACUCCGAGAGAAUGAUCAGCCAUACUAGGACUGAGACACAACCUAGACUCCUGCGAGAGGCAAAAGUGGGAAAUAUUCCGCAAUGGGCGAAAGCCUGGGAGACUGAUGUUGCGUGGAGGUGGAAGGCCUACAGGUCAUCAACUUCUUUUCUAGGAGAAGAAACGAUGAUGGUAUAUGAUGAAUAAGCAACAACUAUCUCUCUCCCAAGUUGUCCCCUUUGGGCACUUGUCUCCUACAGUAGCGA
rnacentral:ncRNA from 1 species